AUGGUUCUCGGUGAUCUCAAUGAAAUAAUGUAUCCCUUUGAGAAAGAGGGAGGCAACGUCAGACCAGAGAGGUAUAUGCAAGCUUUUAGAGAUGCGGUGCAGGAUUGUAACCUUACAGAUUUUGGGUAUGUUGGAGAUCGCUAUACUUGGCAGAGAGGAAACAUUCGUGAACGGCUUGAUCGUGCACUUACUAAUGAGAUGUGGAAUGACAAAUUUAACAAUGCUGUGUUGGAGAAUUUGGAGUAUAGCAGAUCGGAUCAUAGACCUCUCUUGAUGCACUGUGAUACAACCAGCGAGGAGAGGUUUGGCCCAUCUGUUCUGCGGUUUGAUGCACGGUGGCUAAAAGAAAAAAACUUUCAUGAUGUAGUACAAGCUGCAUGGGGACCGACACACAGCUUUCUGAUGGUAGCCUCGCUGAUAAGCUGGCGUUGGUGCAUAAAAGGCUACACAUGUGGGACAGCUCGGUUUUGA
rnacentral:rRNA from 1 species